UACGUAGGGUGCAAGCGUUUGUCCGGAAUUAUUGGGCGUAAAGAGCUCGUAGGCGGUCUGUCGCGUCGGCUGUGAAAACCCGGAGCUCAACUCCGGGCCUGCAGUCGAUACGGGCAAACUGGAGUGUUGCAGGGGAGACUGGAAUUCCUGGUGUAGCGGUGAAAUGCGCAGAUAUCAGGAGGAACACCGGUGGCGAAGGCGGCGUCCUGGACCAACACUGACACUGAGGAGCGAAAGCCAGGGGAGCAAACGGG
rnacentral:rRNA from 1 species